CAGUCGCCGCGGUAAGACAGAGGAUGCAAGCGUUAUCCGGAAUGAUUGGGCGUAAAGCGUCUGUAGGUGGCUUUUCAAGUCCGCCGUCAAAUCCCAGGGCUCAACCUUGGACAGGCGGUGGAAACUACCAAGCUGGAGUACGGUAGGGGCAGAGGGAAUUUCCAGUGGAGCGGUGAAAUGCGUUGAGAUCGAAAAGAACACCAACAGCGAAAGCACUCUGCUGGGACGACACUGACACUAAGAGACGAAAGCUAGGGGAGCAAAUGGGAUUAGAUACCCGUGUAGUCCCUGUCUCUUAUAC
rnacentral:rRNA from 1 species